rnacentral:rRNA from 1 species
GAGUUUGAUCCUGGCUCAGAACGAACGCUGGCGGCAGGCCUAAUACAUGCAAGUCGAGCGCGCCCUUCGGGGUGAGCGGCGGACGGGUGAGUAACGCGUGGGAAUAUGCCCUUCUCUAAGGAAUAGCCUCUGGAAACGGAGAGUAAUACCUUAUACGCCCUUUGGGGGAAAGAUUUAUCGGAGAAGGAUUAGCCCGCGUUAGAUUAGGUAGUUGGUGGGGUAAUGGCCUACCAAGCCUACGAUCUAUAGCUGGUUUGAGAGGAUGAUCAGCCACACUGGGACUGAGACACGGCCCAGACUCCUACGGGAGGCAGCAGUAGGGAAUCUUAGACAAUGGGGGCAACCCUGAUCUAGCCAUGCCGCGUGUGUGAUGAAGGCCCUAGGGUCGUAAAGCACUUUCGCCAGAGAUGAUAAUGACAGUAUCUGGUAAAGAAACCCCGGCUAACUCCGUGCCAGCAGCCGCGGUAAUACGGAAGGUGCAAGCGUUAAUCGGAAUUACUGGGCGUAAAGCGCGCGUAGGUGGUUUGUUAAGUUGGAUGUGAAAGCCCUGGGCUCAACCUAGGAACUGCAUCCAAAACUAACUCACUAGAGUACGAUAGAGGGAGGUAGAAUUCAUAGUGUAGCGGUGGAAUGCGUAGAUAUUAUGAAGAAUACCAGUGGCGAAGGCGGCCUCCUGGAUCUGUACUGACACUGAGGUGCGAAAGCGUGGGUAGCGAACAGGAUUAGAUACCCUGGUAGUCCACGCCGUAAACGAUGACAACUAGCUGUUGGGAGACUAUGUCUUUCAGUGGCGCAGCUAACGCUUUAAGUUGUCCGCCUGGGGAGUACGGCCGCAAGGCUAAAACUCAAAUGAAUUGACGGGGACCCGCACAAGCGGUGGAGCAUGUGGUUUAAUUCGAUGCAACGCGAAAAACCUUACCUACUCUUGACAUACUUGGAGGCUCUUGUAAUGAGAGUGUGCCUUUUGGAACCAAGAUACAGGUGCUGCAUGGCUGUCGUCAGCUCGUGUCGUGAGAUGUUCCGUUAAGUCGGAUAACGAGCGCAACCCUUACCCUUAUUUGCCAGCGAUUCGGUCGGGAACUAUAAGGGGACUGCCGGUGAUAAACCGGAGGAAGGUGAGGACGACGUCAAGUCAUCAUGGCCCUUACGAGUAGGGCUACACACGUGCUACAAUGGGAGUGACAAUGGGUUAAUCCCCAAAAGCUGUCUCAGUUCGGAUUGGGGUCUGCAACUCGACCCCAUGAAGUCGGAAUCGCUAGUAAUCGCGUAACAGCAUGACGCGGUGAAUACGUUCCCGGGCCUUGUACACACCGCCCGUCACACCAUGGGAGUUGGUUCUACCCGACGACGCUGCGCUACCCUUCGGGGGGGCAGGCGGCCACGGUAGGAUCAGCGACUGGGGUGAAGUCGUAACAAGGUAACC